rnacentral:rRNA from 1 species
GAGUUUGAUCCUGGCUCAGGAUGAACGCUGGCGGCGUGCUUAACACAUGCAAGUCGAGCGGAGUGACCCGACGGAAAUUUUCGAAUGGACGUCGGACUCACUUAGCGGCGGACGGGUGAGUAACGCGUGGGCAACCUGCCCUGUACAGAGGAAUAACAGUGGGAAACCAGUGCUAAUACCUCAUACUCCCUCGGGGUGGCAUCACCUGGAGGGGAAAGAUUCAUCGGUACAGGAUGGGCCCGCGUCUGAUUAGUUAGUUGGUGAGGUAAUGGCUCACCAAGACGAUGAUCAGUAGCCGACCUGAGAGGGUGAUCGGCCACACUGGAACUGAGACACGGUCCAGACUCCUACGGGAGGCAGCAGUGGGGAAUAUUGCACAAUGGGGGAAACCCUGAUGCAGCAACGCCGCGUGAGCGAUGAAGGCCUUCGGGUCGUAAAGCUCUGUCCUAAGGGAAGAUAGUGACGGUACCUUAGGAGGAAGCCCCGGCUAACUACGUGCCAGCAGCCGCGGUAAUACGUAGGGGGCAAGCGUUAUCCGGAAUUACUGGGCGUAAAGGGUGCGUAGGCGGUCGAAUAAGUCAGGGGUGAAAGACUAUUGCUCAACGAUAGCAAGCCUUUGAAACUAUUCGACUUGAGUGCAGGAGAGGAGAGUGGAAUUUCUAGUGUAGCGGUGAAAUGCGUAGAUAUUAGAAGGAACACCAGUGGCGAAGGCGACUCUCUGGACUGCAWCUGACGCUGAGGCACGAAAGCG